rnacentral:rRNA from 1 species
GCCGUGCGGCUGCUUACCUGCAAGUCGAGCGGUAAGGCCCUUCGGGGUACACGAGCGGCGAACGGGUGAGUAACACGUGAGCAACCUGCCCCUGACUCUGGGAUAAGCGGUGGAAACGCCGUCUAAUACCGGAUACGACCCGCCACCUCAUGGUGGAGGGUGGAAAGUUUUUCGGUCAGGGAUGGGCUCGCGGCCUAUCAGCUUGUUGGUGGGGUAACGGCCUACCAAGGCGAUUACGGGUAGCCGGCCUGAGAGGGCGACCGGCCACACUGGGACUGAGACACGGCCCAGACUCAUGCGGGAGGCAGCAGUGGGGAAUAUUGCGCAAUGGGCGAAAGCCUGACGCAGCGACGCCGCGUGGGGGAUGACGGCCUUCGGGUUGUAAACCUCUUUUACCACCAACGCAGGCUUCCAGUUCUCUGGAGGUUGACGGUAGGUGGGGAAUAAGGACCGGCUAACUACGUGCCAGCAGCCGCGGUAAUACGUAGGGUCCGAGCGUUGUCCGGAAUUAUUGGGCGUAAAGAGCUCGUAGGCGGCGUGUCGCGUCUGCUGUGAAAGACCGGGGCUUAACUCCGGUUCUGCAGUGGAUACGGGCAUGCUAGAGGUAGGUAGGGGAGACUGGAAUUCCUGGUGUAGCGGUGAAAUGCGUAGA